UGACGAGCGGCGGACGGGUGAGUAAUGUCUGGGAAACUGCCUGAUGGAGGGGGAUAACUACUUGGAAACGGUAGCUAAUACCGCAUAACGUCGCAAGACAAAGAGGGGGACCUUCGGGCCUCUUGCCAUCAGAUGUGCCCAGAUGGGAUUAGCUAGUAGUGGGGUAACGGCUCACCUAGGCGACGAUCCCUAGCUGGUCUGAGAGGAUGACCAGCCACACUGGAACUGAGACACGGUCCAGACUCCUACGGGAGGCAGCAGUGGGGAAUAUUGCACAAUGGGCGCAAGCCUGAUGCAGCCAUGCCGCGUGUAUGAAGAAGGCCUUCGGGUUGUAAAGUACUUUCAGCGGGGAGGAAGGUGUUGUGGUUAAUAACCACAGCAAUUGACGUUACCCGCAGAAGAAGCACCGGCUAACUCCGUGCCAGCAGCCGCGGUAAUACGGAGGGUGCAAGCGUUAAUCGGAAUUACUGGGCGUAAAGCGCACGCAGGCGGUCUGUCAAGUCGGAUGUGAAAUCCCCGGGCUCAACCUGGGAACUGGAUUCGAAACUGGCAGGCUAGAGUCUUGUAAGGGGGGUAGAAUUCCAGGUGUAACGGUGAAAU
rnacentral:rRNA from 1 species